rnacentral:rRNA from 1 species
UGAGGAAUAUUGGUCAAUGGGAGAGAUCCUGAACCAGCCAAGCCGCGUGAGGGAAGAAUGUCCUAUGGAUUGUAAACCUCCUUUGUCAGGGAGCAAAGUCACCCACGUGUGGGUGUUGGAGAGUACCCGGAGAAAAAGCAUCGGCUAACUCCGUGCCAGCAGCCGCGGUAAUAUGGAGGAUCCGAGCGUUCUCCGGAUUUAUUGGGUUUAAAGGGUGCGUAGGCGGUCCGUUAAGUCAGCGGUAAAAUUGCGGGGCUCAACCUCCGCCCGCCGCUGAAACUGACGGUCUUGAGUGGGCGAGAAGUAUGCGGAAUGCGUGGUGUAGCGGUGAAAUGCAUAGAUAUCACGCAGAACUCCGAUUGCGAAGGCAGCAUACCGGCGCCCGACUGACGCUGAGGCACGAAAGCGUGGGUAUCGAACAGG